rnacentral:lncRNA from 1 species
AAAUCACGUGUAUGUCAUCUUAUACACCAAGCCAUGCCAUUUGAGUCUUCAUACUGCUAAAAAGAAAUAAAAAAUCACCAAACAAAUUGUCAUCUUUUCUCUUCAGGUGAGUUCUCAACCUUCUCUUCUUUACUUUUUUUUCAUUCUCUUCUUCUAACCUAAUCUCCUUCAGUGAAAGAUCUUUCAGAAGGUUGGUGCGUGGAUCGAGCAUUUUCAGUGUUCUUGCUUCAGAUAGCUAGGUGGCUAACAUGCCUUUCAUCAUUCCCGCAC